AUAUCUAUAAUCAAUGCUCACUCCUGUCCAUUAACUCCCCCGGGCCCAAGUUCAGCGUACUCGAGUUCAGAUGAAAUGGAUUCAUUAUUUCAGUGAGUCCACACAAGAGGAGAAUGACAGGAAGGGUGGUGACAAGAGGAGACUGGCAGUCAGAGAUGGAAACAAAGCUAUGUUUUUGGUGGGAAUGGUACUGUUUCAUUCAUAAUUUGUAGUACAAUAGUCACGGGUACAUCUUUACACUCUUUUGCGCAAGCGAGAAUGCAAACACAAUCUGCAGCAACCUCCUUUUACAGUAGUAACAAA